ACAUGCAAGUCGAACGGUAGCACAGAGGAGCUUGCUCCUUGGGUGACGAGUGGCGGACGGGUGAGUAAUGUCUGGGAAACUACCCGAUGGAGGGGGAUAACUACUGGAAACGGUAGCUAAUACCGCAUAACGUCGCAAGACCAAAGAGGGGGACCUUCGGGCCUCUUGCCAUCGGAUGUGCCCAGAUGGGAUUAGCUAGUAGGUGGGGUAACGGCUCACCUAGGCGACGAUCCCUAGCUGGUCUGAGAGGAUGACCAGCCACACUGGAACUGAGACACGGUCCAGACUCCUACGGGAGGCAGCAGUGGGGAAUAUUGCACAAUGGGCGCAAGCCUGAUGCAGCCAUGCCGCGUGUAUGAAGAAGGCCUUCGGGUUGUAAAGUACUUUCAGCGAGGAGGAAGGCGUUGUGGUUAAUAACCGCAACGAUUGACGUUACUCGCAGAAGAAGCACCGGCUAACUCCGUGCCAGCGGCCGCGGUAAUACGGAGGGUGCAAGCGUUAAUCGGAAUUACUGGGCGUAAAGCGCACGCAGGCGGUCUGUCAAGUCGGAUGUGAAAUCCCCGGGCUCAACCUGGGAACUGCAUCCGAAACUGGCAGGCUAGAGUCUUGUAGAGGGGGGUAGAAUUCCAGGUGUAGCGGUGAAAUGCGUAGAGAUCUGGAGGAAUACCGGUGGCGAAAGGCGGCCCCCUGGACAAAGACUGACGCUCAGGUGCGAAGCGUGGGGAGCAAACAGGAUUAGAUACCCUGGUAGUCCACGCCGUAA
rnacentral:rRNA from 1 species